GACAGAGGGUGCAAACGUUGUUCGGAAUUAUUGGGCGUAAAGAGCUCGUAGGCGGUUUGUUGCGUCGGCUGUGAAAUCCCGAGGCUCAACCUCGGGUCUGCAGUCGAUACGAGCAAACUAGAGUGUUGCAGGGGAGACUGGAAUUCCUGGUGUAGCGGUGAAAUGCGCAGAUAUCAGGAGGAACACCGGUGGCGAAGGCGGGUCUCUGGGCAUUAACUGACGCUGGAGGAGCGAAAAGCAUGGGGAGCGAACAGG
rnacentral:rRNA from 1 species